rnacentral:rRNA from 1 species
AACGAACGCUGGCGGCAUGCCUAACACAUGCGAGUCGAACGAAGGCUUCGGCCUUAGUGGCGCACGGGUGAGUAACGCGUGGGAAACUGCCUAUUGGUGGGGAAUAACGACGGGAAACUGUCGCUAAUACCGCAUAAGCCCUUCGGGGGAAAGAUUUAUCGCCGAUAGAUGUGCCCGCGUCCGAUUAGCUAGUUGGUGAGGUAAUGGCUCACCAAGGCGACGAUCGGUAGCUGGUCUGAGAGGAUGAUCAGCCACACUGGGACUGAGACACGGCCCAGACUCCUACGGGAGGCAGCAGUGGGGAAUAUUGGACAAUGGGCGAAAGCCUGAUCCAGCAAUGCCGCGUGAGUGAUGAAGGCCUUAGGGUUGUAAAGCUCUUUCGGGUGGGACGAUGAUGACGGUACCACCAGAAGAAGCCCCGGCUAACUUCGUGUCAGCAGCCGCCGUAA